rnacentral:rRNA from 1 species
ACUCCUACGGGAGGCAGCAGUGGGGAAUAUUGCACAAUGGGCGCAAGCCUGAUGCAGCCAUGCCGCGUGUAUGAAGAAGGCCUUCGGGUUGUAAAGUACUUUCAGCGGGGAGGAAGGCAAUACGGUUAAUAACCGUGUUGAUUGACGUUACCCGCAGAAGAAGCACCGGCUAACUCCGUGCCAGCAGCCGCGGUAAUACGGAGGGUGCAAGCGUUAAUCGGAAUUACUGGGCGUAAAGCGCACGCAGGCGGUCUGUCAAGUCGGAUGUGAAAUCCCCGGGCUCAACCUGGGAACUGCAUUCGAAACUGGCAGGCUUGAGUCUUGUAGAGGGGGGUAGAAUUCCAGGUGUAGCGGUGAAAUGCGUAGAGAUCUGGAGGAAUACCGGUGGCGAAGGCGGCCCCCUGGACAAAGACUGACGCUCAGGUGCGAAAGCGUGGGGAGCAAACAGGAUUAGAUACCCCGGUAGUCCCA